UACGUAGGGUGCGAGCGUUGUCCGGAAUUAUUGGGCGUAAAGAGCUUGUAGGCGGUCUGUCGCGUCUGCUGUGAAAAUCCGGGGCUCAACCCCGGACUUGCAGUGGGUACGGGCAGACUAGAGUGUGGUAGGGGGAGACUGGAAUUCCUGGUGUAGCGGUGAAAUGCGCAGAUAUCAGGAGGAACACCGAUGGCGAAGGCGGUUCUCUAGUACGGUACUGACG
rnacentral:rRNA from 1 species